GUGAGGAAUCUUCCACAAUGGGCGAAAGCCUGAUGGAGCAACGCCGCGUGAAGGAUGAAGGUCUUCGGAUUGUAAACUUCUUUUAUGAGUGAAGAAUAUGACGGUAACUCAUGAAUAAGCACCGGCUAACUACGUGCCAGCAGCCGCGGUCAUACGUAGGGUGCAAGCAUUAUCCGGAGUGACUGGGCGUAAAGAGUUGCGUAGGCGGUUAUGUAAGCGAAUAGUGAAACCUGGUGGCUCAACCACACAGACUAUUAUUCGAACUGCAUAACUCGAGAAUGGUAGAGGUAACUGGAAUUUCUUGUGUAGGAGUGAAAUCCGUAGAUAUAAGAAGGAACACCAAUGGCGUAGGCAGGUUACUGGGCCAUUUCUGACGCUAAGGCACGAAAGCGUGGGGAGCGAACCGGAUCAGAAACCCUAGUAGUCC
rnacentral:rRNA from 1 species